GUGCUCACUUCGGCAGCACAUACACUAGAAAUUGGAACGAUACAGAUAAGAUUAGCAUGGCCCCUGUGCUUGGAUGACAUGCAAAUUUGUAAAGCAUUCCAUAUUAAA
rnacentral:snRNA from 1 species